AUACGAAGGGUGCAAGCGUUACUCGGAAUUACUGGGCGUAAAGCGUGCGUAGGUGGUUGUUUAAGUCUGUCGUGAAAGCCCUGGGCUCAACCUGGGAAUUGCGAUGGAAACUGGGCAACUAGAGUGUGGCAGAGGAUAGUGGAAUUCCUGGUGUAGCAGUGAAAUGCGUAGAGAUCAGGAGGAACAUCCGUGGCGAAGGCGACUGUCUGGGCCAACACUGACACUGAGGCACGAAAGCGUGGGGAGCAAACAGGAUUAGAUACCCUGGUAGUCCACGCCCUAAACGAUGCGAACUGGAUGUUGGGUGCAAUUUGGCACGCAGUAUCGAAGCUAACGCGUUAAGUUCGCCGCCUGGGGAGUACGGUCGCAAGACUGAA
rnacentral:rRNA from 1 species